rnacentral:rRNA from 1 species
GUCGAGAAUUUUUCACAAUGGGGGAAACCCUGAUGGAGCGACGCCGCGUGGAGGAUGAAGGCCCUCGGGUUGUAAACUCCUGUCAUGCGGGAACAAGAAAGUGAUAGUACCGCAAGAGGAAGAGACGGCUAACUCUGUGCCAGCAGCCGCGGUAAUACAGAGGUCUCAAGCGUUGUUCGGAUUCAUUGGGCGUAAAGGGUGCGUAGGUGGCGAUGCAAGUCUGGUGUGAAAUCUCGGAGCUCAACUCCGAAAUUGCACCGGAUACUGCGUUGCUAGAGGAUUGUAGAGGAGAGUGGAAUUCACGGUGUAGCAGUGAAAUGCGUAGAUAUCGUGAGGAAGACCAGUUGCGAAGGCGACUCUCUGGGCAAUUCCUGACACUGAGGCACGAAGGCCAGGGGAGCAAACGGGAUUAGAUACCCUGGUAGUCC